AUGACGAGAGUGAAGAAUAGUUACUAUGUACUUCCAGGAGAACCUGAACCGAAGCGCACCGUGUGAAACACUCACAACAUUGGGAAGGUGAUGUUCCUAACAGUUGUUGCCAAGCCUCGAUAUAACAAUGAGGGGGAGCUAACAUUCGAUGGGAAGAUCGGCAUUUGGGCAUUCGUCGAAGAGACUAAGGCGAAGCGGACAAGUCAAAACAGAACAAAGGGAACAAAAGUGUUGACAUCAGUGAAAGUAACCAGGCCUGUGUGCAGAGAUUAUCUAAUCAAUAAGGUUAUCCCGGCAAUUCAGGAUAAAUGGCCUGACGAUGAUGAGGGAGCGACAAUAUUCAUCCAACAGGAUAACGCAAAGCCUCGUGUCCUUCCCAAUGAUGUAGCUUUUCGAGAACCUGUGGAACAAACUGAUCUUGACAUCUGA
rnacentral:rRNA from 1 species